rnacentral:rRNA from 1 species
AAUAUGAGACAAUGGGCGAAAGCCUGAUCCAGCCAUUCCGCGUGUUUGAAUAAGGUCUUCGGAUUNUAAAGCACUUUAAGUUGGGGNGAAUGGGUUGAAGCUAAUACCUUCAAUCUUUGACGUUACCAACAGAAAAAGCACCGGCUAAAUUUGUGCCAACAGCCGCGGUAAUACAGAGGGUGCAAGCGUUAAUCGGAAUUACUGGGCGUAAAGCGCGCGUUGGUGGUUCAGUAAGAUGGACGUGAAAUCCCCGGGCUUAACCUGGGAGCUGCAUUAAUAACUGCUAAGCUAGAGUACGGUAGAGGGUAGUGGAAUUUACUGUGUAGCGGUGAAAUGCGUAGAUAUAGGAAGGAACACCAGUGGAGAAGGCGACUACCUGGACUGAUACUGACACUGAGGUGCGAAGGCGUGGGGAGCAAAC